rnacentral:rRNA from 1 species
AACAGGUCUUCGGAUGCUGACGAGUGGCGAACGGGUGAGUAAUACAUCGGAACGUGCCCGAUCGUGGGGGAUAACGGAGCGAAAGCUUUGCUAAUACCGCAUACGAUCUACGGAUGAAAGCAGGGGACCGCAAGGCCUUGCGCGGACGGAGCGGCCGAUGGCAGAUUAGGUAGUUGGUGGGAUAAAAGCUUACCAAGCCGACGAUCUGUAGCUGGUCUGAGAGGACGACCAGCCACACUGGGACUGAGACACGGCCCAGACUCCUACGGGAGGCAGCAGUGGGGAAUUUUGGACAAUGGGCGAAAGCCUGAUCCAGCCAUGCCGCGUGCAGGAUGAAGGCCUUCGGGUUGUAAACUGCUUUUGUACGGAACGAAAAGACUCCUUCUAAUAAAGGGAGUCCAUGACGGUACCGUAAGAAUAAGCACCGGCUAACUACGUGCCAGCAGCCGCGGUAAUACGUAGGGUGCAAGCGUUAAUCGGAAUUACUGGGCGUAAAGCGUGCGCAGGCGGUUAUAUAAGACAGAUGUGAAAUCCCCGGGCUCAACCUGGGAACUGCAUUUGUGACUGUAU